UAUACGGCGAUACUGUUGAUUUUGCAUUUUUGAAAUGUGGGCGUUGGCGUUUGUACUUGGACUGUUUUGUCAAAUUUAUAACAUCGACUGUGUCCAGGCGUGUUUUUGACAUUUUUUUCUCUGCUCCGAUUAAUUAUAUUUUUUUACCAAUUUGUCUGUUUCACAUUGUUCCGUGAUCAUUUGUUUAUAUAUUAUUUGUUUUUUCAAAAUAAUAUUAUAAGUAAAUAUGCCUUCCAAAAAUUGUGCCGUUAUUGGAUGUGAUACAAAAUACACCAAUAAAAACAUUAUACGACAUCGUUUUCCUAAGGACGAGAAGACUUGUGCCGUAUGGGUCCAAAAAUCAGGAAACAAUAAUUUAUUGAACAAAUCUGCACUACAAAUAUUCAAUUCUUACAUUAUUUGUGAAAAACACUUUGAUGCCAGCUGCAAGAGCCCAGGUUUUAAAAAACUUAUUCAUGGUUCUAUUCCUACUCUUAAUCUUCCAGCUGCUGACAUUUCUGACACUGAAGUUAAGGAUUAUGCUGAACCAUCAACAUCUUUUAUGAUAUGUUUAUUGAUUUGAACCAUACAGAAUGUUCAGAUGUUUAUUGCAACGUCAUUGACACGUCCAUUGAACAGAGUUUAGAGCCAUUAAACUCAACAAUUGAUAUGAACAUUACUCAAACUGAUGACAUAACUUGGCAAACACCUAAUGAAGAAGUUCAAGAAUCACUCAAUACAAGCCAGUCUUUAAAUGAAGCAAUACAACUGAUCCAAUAAUAAAAAAUGCUGUUGUAUACCAUGACAAAUAUGUCAAAAAAAAAAAAAAAUGAUUAUUAAGACAAAAUGUUAAUUAUUUUGUGUUUUAUGAUUUAAAGUAU